GCUCGCCGCACCUAGAGAAAGCCGCACACAGCAACAAAGACCCAGUGCAGCCAAAAAUAAAUAAAAUUAAAGUAAUAUAAUCACAGAAGUGACAUUCAUCACCAUGCUAUAGUCAACUGGUUAGAAACAAAUCAGGUCCUGCCCACUCUUGGGAGGCAAUUACACAGAGGCAUGAAUACCAGGAAGUGGAGAUCAUGGGAUGCUGCAUACUUUUGUUUUCUUGAACCAUAUAUAUUUUUUUUUGGCUGCGUUGGGUCUUUGUUGCUGCGCACGGGCUUUCUCUAGUUGCGGCGAGCAGGGGCUACUCUUCGUUGUGGUGCCCGGGCUUCUUGUUUCGGUGGCUUCUCGUCAUGGAGCACAGGCUCUAGGGCACAUGGGCUUCAGUAGCUGUGGCGCACGGACUCAGUAGUUUUGGCGCACGGGCUUAGUUACUCUGCAGCAUGUGGGAUCUUCCCGGACAAGGGAUCAAACCCAUGUCCCCUGCAUUGGCAGGCGGAUUCUUAACCACUGCGCCACCCGAGAAGUCUCCCAAGGAUACUUCUUGUUCACGUUCAUGUUCUUAGCAUGUCAUCUGUACUCUGCUCCAAAUCGUCAUUCCAAGACCAACAAUGAAGAAGCAGGUUCUUCCUCGGACAGGCAGGUCUCUUGGCAAAGGGAAAAGAGAGAUGGCAGAACCUCACGAUGGCUCUUAGAACUUCUGCUUAGAAGUGGCAUCACUUUCAUUCACCUUUCAAUGGCCGAAGCAAGUCAUGGCCAAACUAAUGUCAAUGCAAAGUAUAAAUCCUUCAGUGGUAACAGGCCUGAGAGAGAGGAGCAGUGAAUCACAUGUGAAAGUAUAACCAGUAAAUGUUAGUGUCCUUCACCUCCGUCUUUUCCCUUACUGAUCCUGCUGAGGAAGAUAGUUAUAGAGCAUAAAGAGGCAGUGUAAGACGUGGUUAGUGGUUAGGAGUCUAGAUUCUGGAGACAGACUGCCUGAGUUUGAAUCCUGACUCUGCCACUUUCCAGCUAUAUGGCCUUCAGCAAGUUAUUUAACCUCUCUACGCCUCAAUUUCCUCCUCUGUGAAAUGAGACUAAUAAUAGUAUCUAUGUCAUCGAGCUGUGGAUUAAAUUAGUUAUGUAUGUAAAGUAUAUAGAACAGUGCUUGGCACAUGGUAGGCCCUGUAUAAUUGUCAACUGUUGUUGCUGCUGCUGUGAUUGUUAGUAUUGAAAGAAACCUGGCUUAAAGUCAAAGGACUGGAUUUAAAAUCUCAGCUUAUUCUAGGUCACUAGACUCAAGUGACUUGAGGUCACUUAUCCUAUUACUGACCUUCAGCAAGUACCUUAAUCUCUGAGUACUGAUUAUCUCUUCAUCUGUAAAAUUGGAAUAACAUUCAUUUCUAGAGAGGCUGUGUAGAAUAGCAGUCCCCAAAUUUUUGGCACCAGGGGCCAGUUUCGUGGAAGACAGUUUUUCCACAGAUGGGGGCGGCAGUGGGGGGAAGGUUCAGGUGGUAAUGCGAGCGAUGGGGAGCAAUGGGGAGCAGCCGAUGGAGCUUCCCUCGCUCACCUGCUGAUCACCCUCUGCGGUGCGACCCGGUUCCUGACAGCCCACGGACCAGUACCGGUCCAUGGCCCAGGGGUUGGGGACCCCUGGUGUAGAAGAGUGAGUAAAAGCAUGGACUCUAGAGCUGGGUUACUUGGGGUCAGAUUCCAACUACACCACUUUUAAGCUGUGUGACUGUGGGCAAAUUACUUAACCCCUGUGUGCUUCAAUUUCAUUACCUGUAAAACGAGAUAGUAAUCGUACCUUAUGUUCACAGGAAUAUUAUGGGGAUUAAGUGAAUUACUAAGAGUUAAUAUAUGUAAAGGUGUGAGAACAAUGCUUGUAAAUGCUCAAGAACUGAUGGCACAUAUCUAAAGUGCUUAAUAAGUUUUAACUAGUAUUCUUUUCUUACAGAGUUUUGAGGAUUGACUGUCUGAAUAGGCAUGAGGGACUUCCCUGGCGGUGCAGUGGUUAAGACCCUGCACUCCCAAUGCAGGGGGCCCGGGUUCGAUCCCUGGUCAGGGAACUAUAUCCCGCAGGCAUACCGCGACUAGGACCCGGCGCAGCCAAAUAAAUAAGUACUUAUUUUUAAAAAUAGCCACGUAAAGGUGUUUUAUAGAAAGUUCUAGUCAAAUGUGAAGACUUAGAAAUCUGCAGUAUAGUCUUCUGUGGCUAUAUAAUUAGGCUUAACCUGGCUUAGCAUGCCCAGGCAGCAGUAAACAUUUUCUUUUGGAAGUCUGUUCAGCUCAGAGCAACCCCCUUAACUGCCUCCCUUUAGCUGGGGAUGGGCCCUGGCUGCUAUGUUUGUAGCUUGUGAAUUGUAGAUACAAAAGCUGACACUUGGUCUUGCUUCCAGUAUAACUGAGCACUUCACGUAUCAAAUUCGGGACAAAGCUUUGCACCCUGAGAUAAACCAAAAAACUUGGAGUCAUUCUGACUGGUUCUGAUCUCCAAUAAUAAAGCCUUAACUAUUUCCUGUAAACCUGGACUCCCUAGCCAAAAUAAUUUUGUCCCUGAUUUUUGCCAUGCUGCUAUCUAAAGAUACAUCAUGACCUUUGUGAAACUGAGAGUCAUGUGGGAAAGUUGCUGUUUUCCCACCAUGAGCAGACAAGCGUAACUGUCAUAACCUUUGUAAUUUGAGUUUCUUUUCCUUUAAAUACUUGUGUGGUUUUUUUGGUUCAUUUUUGUUUUAAUCUGGGAAGGCUGUUCCCUUGUACUCUUUGCAAGUAAACUUUAUCUUUUUUUUUCUAAAUGUUCCUGUCUUGACUAUAGUAGUUGAUUGGACUAGGGGUUGCACCCCUGACCCAAGAUGGGCCAGAUUCUCUGCUCCAGGAAUUUAUAUUCAUAUUCUCUUCCAGCUUCUUAAACCAGGAAGAUGUGAACUGGAGGGCUGUGGAGUAGCCGUCUACACCAGAUAUGGAACAGAGAGGUGGAGAAAGUUCACUGCAGAGAGGAAUGAAGCAGAAGCAAGGUAACAGUGAGAAAUUGCCUCAAAGUGUACGUGCCGACAUUGCUUUCCUGGUUCUAUGGCACUUCGUUAGAGAAGAACUUCAUUUCUACGGGAGUUGGUGAUUGAGGUGAAUCCUGUAAUAAAAAUAGGUUCACAGGAUACAUCCCCGGGGUGAUUGACUAUGACCAGGACCUCCUGAGCUUUGAAUGCUUCCCUUGAAAUUUGCUUCCACACGCAGACAGCGGCACAGGCAGAUGUGGGUCUGUGUCUUCUCCCAAGAGAAGGGAGCACUGAACACUUCAGCUUACGUAUCUCCUCGGGGCUCCUUAGUGGGAGGCGGGGAUGGGGGGAAGCUGCUGCUGUGCAGUACUCCCUUCGUGGGGAAACCUGGAGUAGUCAGAACUUGGGAUGUCAGGGGAAACCUGGCUGACACACCACAGUCGGUCCCCAGGUUCCCAAGUACAGAGGCCUCUCCAUUUCCCUCCGAUGUCUUGGACUGGGCAGAGGGUGCAAGGACAGGGCCUCUCAGAGCUGUGCUUCCCAACAAGGGAAGAGCCGGGGUGGACGGACUCUGUCUAGGAAUGAUAGGCACUGGCAGAAACUGGACACGUGCCACCGUGCUAAAGGUGGGUCUCAUUCCAUCGGGCGCUCCAAAAACACUGGAAGGCCACAAAGCUAUCAAGUGCACUGCCUUCCUGUCGUAAGUGUUCUCUGGUCGCUCUUUUAGUCUUUGAAUUGGCUGUAAGUAGAAGGACAGAGAGAUCAAGUUAGAGAAAGCACUUCCUGGCUGGGGUAUACAGGCAGCGCCAUGCUGAUUGACAGUUUUGGCCUAAAAGAACCUCUUUUUUUGUUUGUUUUUUUGAGGGAGCAGUGCACAUAUGACUUCUGUAGGAGAUAAAGGGAGCAUCUGAGACUGGGGUGACAUGCAAUAGCCAGAACCAACCUUGGCCUUCUCAUCCCAGCUUCCUCCUCUGCUGGGACCUCAGAGACGGUGCAAGUUGGUCUGCGAGCCCAUGUGCAAAAUUAUCGCUGACACCACCCCACGCCCCUUCAGCCGGACCCCAGGAGCAAGCCAGGUUUCAACUUUGACUUUUAUCUCCUCCCCCGCAAAACACACACCUUUUCAGCUAUGUGUGUAUAUUGGCUAAAAUUCCCUUUUUUUUUUUCUAACUUCAGAGGAUUUCCACUUAAAUCUUCACAUUAGGCCCUUUGUGACAUCCUGUAAUGUUCCAAAAUGUUUUUAGUCCCUUGGAUGAAUUAAGUGAAUAAUAAUGCCAAAAGUAUCUCAUGAAAAAAAAUGUAUAAAUAGAAAGCAUCGCUCUGAAUAUAAAAUUGUCAAAAUCAGUGGUUAAAACAGUAUGCUCUCAUUUCUGAUACCAGCCCUAUGAAGAAGACGUACAGGAAGCACAGAUGUCCUUUGUUCCUGAAGCCAUAACUGGGCUGCUAUGAACUAAGGCCUUUGCAGAUAUAAUUGAGGAUCUCCGGAUGAGUUCAUCCUGGAUUUAACCCAAUAAGAAGAGUUUUAAGACACAGAGAAACAGGGGAGAAGGCCUUGCAAGGAUGGAGGCAAAGACUGGAAUUAUGCUGCCGCCAGCCAAGGAACUUCAAGAGCCAAUAGAAGCUGGAGGAGGCAAGGAAGGAUUCUCCCUGAAAGCCUUUGGAGAACGCAUGGCCCUGCUGACACUGUGACUUCUGACUUGUGGACUCUGAGAAUAAACUUCUAUCGUUUUAAGUCACCAGGUUUGUGCUAAUUUGUUACAGCAGUCCUAGGAAAUACACGUAAGAACUACAAAAAUUACAGUUCCAAAGAUAAUACCUCCAAUAUCUGAACCCUGCUCUGGCCAUGUGUCAGAAGUUCAUUUUAACCGCUGAUCUCAGGCAAAGGGGCAAAGCUGCAAUGAAUCUGAAAUCCAGUCUCCAAACAGCUUUGCUAACUACCCUCACAGAUGCUUUGCAAAGUAGAUCUUUAUCUUAAGAACAUUAUAGGUGUUUUUGACCAAAUGCAGGCCAUAACCAAAAAUAUACAAAUUCGGAUGAAUCCCAAGAAAAAAUUCUUGCCUAUAAAAAUUGGAUUUGUAUCUCAAAAUACUUUGACCUCAUAAGGGGCCUUGGCUGAACAUUCGUCCUUGAUGCUCACCUACUGCCUAUUACCAUUUUGUAAAAGUAUCUAGUGGUUUAUUUAAUUGUGAAGAUUGCCAGAAGAUGUAUUUCAAUAUUUUUUAAAGUAUCUUAAAAUAACAUAAAGGCCUAAUUCAUCUGGCAUUGGCAAAUAUGACUUGGAAAAUCAAUUCCAUAUAUUUUUAGACCAUACUACCAGACAAUUUGGUCAUAUCCAUACAUGUAAUUAGAAGAGCUGGAAAAUGGGGCACUCUCUAGCAGUAUAAAUUGAAAACUUUGAAAAUGUUCCACAAAAUGCUAGAAAAGGAAAAAUCAUUUUAUACAUGGCUGAUGAGAGAGAAUCGAUUAGAAAACAAAACCAAAAUAAGCGUGUUUAAGAUGCUGAAGGUGAUAUUAAUGUUCUGACUUUAUAAAUAUUAAAAACAUUGUUAUAGGGACUUCCCUGGUGGCGCAGUGAGUUAAGACUCUGCGCUCCCAAUGCAGGGAGCCUGGGUUCAAUCCCUGGUCAGGAAACUAGAUCCCACAUGCAUGCCACAACCAAGAGUUCACAUGCCACAACUAAGGAGCCUGCCUGCUGCAACUAAGACCUGGUGCAACCAAAUAAGUAAAUCUAGAUACCCUGGAAGGGGAAGAAGUGGGAACACACCAGUGACUACUCACCAUCUGAGAUGUGAGAACUCCAUGGAGAAAGACCAGAAGACUCACACGCUGCACCAUGCUGAGGUGCUGAAAGCACAAGUGAAACUUUUUAUUUAUAUAAAUAAACAUGUACGUGCGUAUCCAUAGAUGAUGUCUUGAUCAUUCAGACUUUCCUUCAUUUAUUAAACACCCACUGUGUACCAUGGGAGGUGGAGCACAGAGGUGCUGGAGCAGGUGAGACUUGAAAUACUGACUUUGACACUUGCUAGCUGUGUGACCUAGGGCAAGUUAUUUAACCUCUUCAUGCCUCAUUGUCCUCAUCUAUAAAAUGGAGAUAAUAUUAAAAGCUAUUUCGCGCUUCCUGGAUAGCACAGUGGUUAAGAAUCCGCCUGCCAAUGCAGGGGACACGGGGUCGAGCCCUAGUCCGGGAAGAUCCCACAUGCUGCGGAGCAGCUAAGCCCCAGGCACCACAACUACUGAGCCUGCGCUCUAGAGCCCGUGAGCCACAACUACUGAAGCCCACGCACCUAGAGCCCCUGCUCUGCAACAAGAGAAGCCACCGCAAGGAGGAGCCUGCGCACCGCAACGAAGAGUAGCCCCCGCUCGCAGCAACUGGAGAAAGCUCGCGCACAGCAGUGAAGACUCAACGCAGCCAAAAAUAAAAUAAAUAAAUUGAAAGUAAAUAAAUAAAUAAAUAAAAGCUAUUUCAAGGGUGAUUAUGAAAUUUGAAUGAGGACAUGCUCUUAAAAGUGCACUUAUGAAGCACUUAAAAUAGUGCAUACAACACGGCAGCCCUCUAUAUGUUUUUAUCUUUUAUUAUUUCCAUCAUGUUCUGAGCUGAGCACAAAUAGAGAAGAAUUCACAGUCUAUUUAAGAGAUCAAAUAAAAAGAGUGGAUUUCUGCCUGCAAUGCUUACUGCUUCAUCCUUGCUCACAGGGGUUACUCAUUAAAUAUUUGUUGAGAGGAUCCAUAAACCGGAUGCAACUCAGGGUGAGUUUGACCUGAACAGCGCCUUGCACAGCUGUCUAGGUCAGAAGAUGGACAUUUCAAGAGCAAAAAAUACCUAAAGCAGAAGUACCUAACGGUCGUAUGUGUCCUAGAAAAUCAGGCUCUGGUUAAGCAUGUGACACCACCAAGAUCCUGGCUGCUUCUUGACCCGUAUCACCCCAACCCCAUGGUAGGUGGUCAAUAUUCUUGAGCCACAGAGGCCCUUGAGGUAUUUUCCAGGGAUCCUGACUCCACAGGGUGGUGGGUGACCCUGUAGCCUUCUCCAGGAGCCACUGGAGACCCACUGAGCCCUGUCAAUCAGUGAGCCUGGUUCCCCAAGGACAAAGAAAACGGGACAGCUACCCAGCUGGACUUGUCUUUCUCCUGGGCUUAGUUCCUGGUGUUGGGGAGACACUGCAAGUCACACCUUUGGAGGCAGGAACCAUCUGAAGAACUCUGAUGUGAAUAUUUGUUGACUAUUGAAGGGUACCAGAAUAUGCCACCCCAAAUUAUGCCUCUUUGGCAUCUGAGUUAUUUUGCGCUAAGGCCACUGAGACCCAGUAGAUGCAGGAAAAGUUCUAAAAACAGGGGAUAAGUUUUCCUUUUGUAAAGAUUUCCACUUGUGAACGAUGCCUCCCUCUCUGGUACCAGGAAGAGGAGGGCUCUUAACAACUCUUACCAAUGGAAGAAGGCAUGACUUGAAUCUGCAUAACAAGCCUUCCUAAACUGCCCUUGUUACUGUGCUUUCUCUGGUCACAUUCCCAUGACUGGUCUCCCCCACCCAGAAACCCCAAACCCCUGUCCUUUGUUUUAGCUUAAGAUAGGCUAUGAGCCCAAGUUCUAACCCCCUCUUUGGGUUACUCAUCGCUGGGUGCUCCCUUGUGUAUAUGCGUAACGCACAUGUUAAUCAACUUCCGUUUUUCUCUUGUUAAUCUGUCUUUGCCAGCUUACAGGGCCCCACUUGGAGAACUGGGGUAGAUGG